UACGUAGGUGGCAAGCGUUGUCCGGAAUUAUUGGGCGUAAAGCGCGCGUAGGCGGUUCUUUAAGUCUGACGUGAAAGCCCACGGCUCAACCGCGGAGGGGCGUUGGAAACUGGGGGACUUGAGUACAGAAGAGGAAAGCGGAAUUCCACGUGUAGCGGUGAAAUGCGUAGAGAUGUGGAGGAACACCAGUGGCGAAGGCGGCUCUUUGGUCUGUAACUGACGCUGAGGCGCGAAAGCGUGGGGAGCAAACAGG
rnacentral:rRNA from 1 species